UACGUAGGGGGCAAGCGUUGUCCGGAAUCAUUGGGCGUAAAGCGCGUGUAGGCGGCUUGAUAAGUCUGGUGUGAAAUCUUGGGGCUCAACCCCAAGCCUGCACUGGAUACUGUCAAGCUUGAGUCCGGGAGGGGAGAGCGGAAUUCCUAGUGUAGCGGUGAAAUGCGCAGAUAUCAGGAGGAACACCGGUGGCGAAGGCGGUUCUCUGGGAAUGUACUGACGCUGAGGAGCGAAAGUGUGGGGAGCGAAACAGG
rnacentral:rRNA from 1 species